rnacentral:rRNA from 1 species
ACUCAAAUGAAUAGACGGGGACCCGCACAAGCAGUGGAGCGUGUUGUUCAAUUCGAUACAAAACGAAAAACCUCACCAGGGUUUGACAUGUACCUGCAAGCGCACGGAAACGUGUGACCUUAGAGGGUGGUACACAGAUGCUGCAUGGCUGUCGUCAGCUCGUGGCGUGAGCUGUUAUCUUAAGUGAUGAAACGAGCGCAACCCGCACUGUAUGUUAAAUAAUUCAUACAGAACAGCCCCGAUUCGUCGGGGAGGAAGGCGCGGAUGACGUCAAGUCAGCACGGCUCUUACACCCUGGGCUACAAACACACUACAAUGGCGAAAAACAACGAGUUGCAAGUACGCAAGUGCAAGCUAAUCUCUGAAAUUUCGCCUCAGUUCAGAUUGGGGUCUGCAAUUCGACCCCAUGAAGUCGGAAUUGCUAGUAAUCGCGGAUCAGCGUGCCGCGGUGAAUACGUUCUCGGGUCUUGUACACACCGCCCGU